AACGAACGCUGGCGGCGUGCCUAACACAUGCAAGUCGUGCGAGAAAGUUCCUUCGGGAGCGAGUAAAGCGGCGCACGGGUGAGUAACACGUAGGUAACCUGCCCCCCAGUCUGGAACAACUAGAGGAAACUCUAGCUAAUGCCGGAUGAGACCACGAUCCCUUCGGGGGUUGCGGCCAAAGAUGGCCUCUACUUGUAAGCUAUCGCUGAGGGAUGGGCCUGCGGGCCAUUAGCUUGUUGGUGAGGUAACGGCUCACCAAGGCUGUGAUGGCUAGCUGGUCUGAGAGGAUGACCAGCCACACUGGGACUGAGACACGGCCCAGACCUCCUACGGGAGGCAGCAGUGGGAAUAUUGCGCAAUGGGCGAAAGCCUGACGCAGCGACGCCGCGUGGGUGA
rnacentral:rRNA from 1 species